rnacentral:snoRNA from 1 species
UCGCUCCAGAUUCCUUACCCAUGAGACUAAACACUGGUCUGAGUGGUUAUAAAGGAGGGAACGCAAAAUUGAUUUAAAUUUUUCUCUGACACAUAAGCUAUUUCAAACCAAC